CCACGAGUUAACUAGUGCAAAGAUUUCACUGUUGAGGGCAAAUUUACUGAAUUUAAAACUCCAAUGUCUCCUAGCGACAGAAAGGCAACUUUGACCAUUGAGAGUCAUCCCAAGUUUGAAGACAAUCAAAGAACUGCUGUGAAGCAAGGAGACAUGGGGGUGAUCACGAUUUCUGCUCAGCGCUGUGGAAUGAUGAGGUUGAAGAUGGAGGUCAUGGACCAGCCUGCAGCAGGUAGUCUCUGAAGUGGGACACCUGUAAUUGUCUGCUUGGCCAACCAAGCAGAAAGGGAAGCCUGCUAGAGUUCUCAAUGCCAUUGUGAUUAAAAGAGAUCACAGCCUA